CCCUUUUUCCCUGUUAAUUUUAGGGCCCCGGAGGUGAAACGCGCCGUGUGCCGCCGCUGCUGCUCCCUGCUGCUGGGCUGCCAACGGCUGCGGGGGGGGGGCCAGCCCCGCACCGUGCUGCGCUGCCGGGAUUGCGGCCACUGCCGCCGCCUCCUCUGCCCGCCCAGGCCACGCCCCCGCCGCCAGGCCACGCCCCCAGGCCACGCCCCCGAGUCUGGACCUGCCUGAGUUCUACCUGGCAACAGCGUGAUGAGGCAGCUCCCCAUUGGCUGGAUAUGAGCUGCAGGAACCAAUCAGAAGCCGGCUGCGGAAAUAAAGCUCUUUAUUCGA